rnacentral:rRNA from 1 species
UGGUGGAGUGAUUUGUCUGGUUAAUUCCGUUAACGAACGAGACCUCGACCUGCUAAAUAGUUCGGCGAAUUCCUCAGGAUUCGUACUGACUUCUUAGAGGGACUAUCGGUGCUUAGCCGAUGGAAGUUCGAGGCAAUAACA